UAAGCUAAAGAGACGGAGAGCUUCCUGAUGAAUUAAUUUUUCAACCUUAUAUAUAUGCUUCUCAAGGCAAGCUCUUUUAAAUGUUCGCCUAUCUCUGCUGGUUAUAAUUAUUCUACUUCCCAUAUUGCACCAAUCACAAAUUCCACCUAAAAACUUUAAAUCGUUUGGAUCAUCUACAUCAUCAAAGACAACGAGUACCUUUUCACUUUGAAGUCUUUUCUUCAUGAAACCGGGUAAACUAGGUGUGUCUAUAUGC
rnacentral:misc_RNA from 1 species